UCCCGGUUCACCCGGGCAGUCUCAUUAGAGUUCCCACCUUCACGUGUUGGCAACUAAUGAUAAGGGUUGCGCUCGUUGCGGGACUUAACCCAACACCUCACGGCACGAGCUGACGACAGCCAUGCAGCACCUGUGUAGAGACCCUUGCGGGAAUCGCCAUCUCUGGCGCUGUCCUCUACAUUUCUAACCUGGGUAAGGUUCUUCGCGUUGCAUCGAAUUAAACCACAUGCUCCACUGCUUGUGCGGGUCCCCGUCAAUUCUUUUGAGUUUCACCCUUGCGGGCGUACUCCCCAGGCGGUAUACUUAUCGCGUUAGCUACGGCACAGCCAGGGUUGAGCCCGGCUACACCAAGUAUACAUCGUUUACGGCAAGGACUAC
rnacentral:misc_RNA from 1 species